rnacentral:rRNA from 1 species
AACGAACGCUGGCGGCAGGCUUAACACAUGCAAGUCGAGCGCCCCGCAAGGGGAGCGGCAGACGGGUGAGUAACGCGUGGGAAUCUACCUAUCUCUACGGAAUAACGCAUGGAAACGUGUGCUAAUACCGUAGACGACCUUCGGGAGAAAGAUUUAUCGGAGAUGGAUGAUCCCGCGUUGGAUUACCUGUUUGGUGGGGUAAAGACCUACCAAGGCGACGAGCCAUAGCGGGUCUGAGAGGAUGAGCAGCCCCACUGGGACUGAGACACGGCCCAGACUCCUACGGGAGGCCGCAGUGGGGAAUAUUGGACAAUGGGCGCAAGCCUAAUCCAGCCGUGCCGCGUGAGUGAUGAAGGCCCUAGGGUUGUAAAGUUCUUUCACCGGUGAAGAUAAUGACGUUAACCGGAGAAGAAGCCCCGGCUAACUUCGUGCCAGCAGCCGCCGUAACAC